rnacentral:lncRNA from 1 species
AUUCACUAACAGCCCUGCAAAAAUAGUCCAUAAUAAGCACACAACCAAACCUCCAACACAAGCGGUUAGCGAACAAGAUAACAACAUAUUAACAUAGCAGUUUUAACUAUAGUAGAGUGCUUAUUAGUGGGACAAUUUAGGGCAGCAAGGUCAUCAAGAGAAUAAGACAUAACAAACUAAAACUGUUUACAGCAAGAAGAUCAUUCAUUCUGCAGUAAGAUCAAUUCAGAAACUGCAGCAAUCCAAUGUCAAUCAGGACUUCACACCUCAUGUUCGACAAACUACUGCACAACAAACUAAAACUGUUUACAGCAAGAAGAUCAUUCAUUCUGCAGUAAGAUCAAUUCAGAAACUGCAGCAAUCCAAUGUCAAUCAGGACUUCACACCUCAUGUUCGACAAACUACUGCACAACACCCUGCAUAAUAUAAGUCUCUUACACUACUUCACUCUUCAAUUAACGGAAUGAUCACACAGUUAACAACUCUCUUAAUCACUAAAAUUCAGAUUCAAAAUAGAAAAUCAAAUUGAACCUAAACUAACCACUCAUUCUAACUAACUAACAAAUUUGUGUUCAUUUGCUAACAAAUUAAUUUGCAGUGAAUUUCAUAUUGCAUUUGAGCUGAAUUUCUAACAAACUUUGAAGCCUAUAAAUUCAACAUUACCUGCAAUCCUUAGAGUGAUUCAUUCUGCAUUUUUUUUCACUCUUAAAACUCUCUGGUUUUUUUUCUCAGUUUCCCUAUCACUCUUCAUUCAUACAAACAACUCCAAAACCUUCAUUCUUCAUUGAAUCAUAUAAUUGACAAGUCUUCUUUAAGAAAUCAUCAAUCAUUCCACACUUCAACAGUGAAGCAUCAUUGCACAUCAAUCCUCCUUCAACAGUGAAGCACCAUUACCCUCCUCUUGGAUUCAGUACAGACUCU